UUUUCUUUUUUUUUUUUCUUUUUUUUUUCUUUUCCCAAUAUGAGCCCUUCAAUAAUAGGUUCCAAGGAAUAAGAUAAUGUGAUGUUUUCAGUACUGCACUCACCAUACUGGGUAUUUUGGAUCUUUCGGUUUGUAAAAUAGUAACACAACCUCAAUCUUUUCUAGCCCGCAUGUGAAAAAAAUGCUCAGUAGUUUCUUGUGCGUGCUGCUGUUUAAUGACAAGCUUGACUAAGACAACACCACACUGAGAACUACUUCUUUGAGGAGGCUGGCAUGUUGCUGGCCAUCUCCCUACACCAGUUUACCGUGGGACCAGACACAGACCACAGCUAGCACAAGGGAGAUUACAUACAAGAGGGGAAGUGCAAAGACACUUCUUUUCAUGGCAUCUGGUUAUUUUAUCAGCUUUACUGCAAUUUGAAGCCACAGCCUCAGACACAGUAGAACCAGUGUUGUCCCAAGUGCAGCAGUAGUGGUUUCCUAUGAGCAACAGAGAUGGUGGGACAGUCACCAGGCAACCUGUGUGGAAGAGGAGGCCAAAGAAAAAGUAUUACAAGUACUCUUGUCACGGUUGUGUAGACUGUGUACAUUGAACAAGGUGGACCGGUGGCUCAGAAGUAUUAAUUAUGUAAAUAAGGAAGAAACGGUGCACUGUCAAUGUGCAAUUUUCCGUGGCUGUUGUUCUUUUUUCUGUGAUCCUUUCUGUCUUCUCUGUCUUCUGUAUUUCUGUCAGGACAUUGUAAAUCUCUCAAAUUAUUAAUGUGUUCUGUAACUUUCUCCAUUAGAAGAAUUCAGCAUCUUAAUCCUCAAUUAUGGACUCUUUUGCAUUCUUUCUUUUAAAGCAGAUACUGAAUUACUGCUGCUCCUGGCAGGUCUUCAGCUUGUUUGGAGACUGUCUGUGCUGUUGUAUAUGCAUUAAUCGUUUCUAAAACUAGUAGAUUCUCCAGGACUAUGCUUCAGAAGCCUGUGAAGAAACUGGUUCCUGCAGGCACUGACCCCAGGCUUCUGCUGUGACUAUGUUUGGAGGAGUUUCUCCCCUUGCUGGAAAGAAAACACCAAGAGGCUUUUAGUAAAGCAAAAUAAAGGCAUCUCUGCUCGUGUGAAUGCUCACCCAUGAACGCAACAGAGCAACGCGUGUGAACCACAGAAUUUGUUUCUCUACUUUUCUCACAAUCAUUCAUACUGUCACCUUUUUCAAUGUAUUGAUCUGCUUUUUCUGUAAACAGUGACCCCUUGUGAAGGGGUAAAUUCAGCUUGGAAGUAAUGUCUAGUAAUGUCUAGUCUCUGAUAUGCCUUUUUUCAAGGCUCACUGUGCUGAGGAAAAGGAUAUUUUAAAAAGCAGACUUUGAAUGAUGCUUUAUUCAUUACACUAAAUAGCUUAUUCAUUUACUAAUCUGACCACUUCUGACUACUGCUCGUUCAUUGUAUUCUCUCUGACUUGUGAAGGAAGAAAACAGAGACAAGUAGACUGUGUUGUCUGUGCCUGGCAAUUAUGUGCACAUCAGUGGUGGCAGGACCAGCGGAAGUUCAAAUCCUUCUCUGAUGUAUUCCAUUAAUUCAAGUAACUGCUUUGUAUGAAAAUGCACAUAGGGCAGCACUUAGCACACACAGUUCAGAGCCAGGAAGGCUGAGGCAUUCAGCUGUAGAUGUACUCAGUUACUUUCUGCCAUCACCUUUCCUCCCACAAAAUCCAAACUACUCAUGGAUCCAGAUUGUUGCUUUUUUUCUGGAAAAAUGACAUGUCACCAAGAUCUUUCCAAUGGCAAGAAUAGCUUUUGUUUGUUGUUGAUUCUUUCAAGAAUCUUUUACAACAAAAAACAAAUGCUUCAUUUUCCUUCAGAAGAGAAAAUUGUGUGGAGGAGGAGAACUUACGUAAGAAGCAGUGCUGCUCCAAAAAUGUCAAACACACAUUUGUUCUUCGGAACAAAAAUUGGAAUUUUCUGUUUUAUAUUCCUGGUAAGCCUCCAGAUACAGUAUUUUAAUUAGAAGUAAGUGACUUUAGGUGACCAAGACAGAAACUGGACCAUGCAACAAGUGUUCUUCCUGGAGAGACGUCACUUUCAAAGUCCAUUAAGACCACCAUGAAAAUCUCUGUGGCCAUUUCAAUGUCUUGCUUUGUUACCAAAUCUGCUCACUUCUUAAACUAACUAGCCAGUUCAAUCAUUGCUUCAUUUUGGAAUGGGAAAAUAUUUAUUUAACAACAAAACUGGGGAAUAGUACUUAUUUUUAAAAAGUCUACAAACACCAGUACAUAUGAAAGUGUAUGACUACUGAUGAACAAAGCUUUUGUGCCAAAGAAAACAAGGAACAAAGAAAACAAGGAUUUAACAUACUGUUCCUGCUUUGCUACAUAGAUCUUGUGCUGCAAAUUUGGAGUUACAGAACUGAAGUGAUUGUAGAGUUUGUAUGAUCUGCAGUUCAAGGUUCUUCCUCAGGGAAUAAUUCUAAGAAGAUAUUAAUAAAAUUGGAAGAAAUUACUAAGGUAUUAUAAGGAGACCAAACUGUAUUUGCACCUGCAGUGCAGUCAGGACAGCAAAGUGAGCAGCUGAGGGCUGGCAUUCCCCUUUCAGAAGGCAGACAAUUGUGGCUGGUAAUCCCCUGAACUGCCACUGUAGGGUUUGGUAAAGCUUAUAAAGCUUCUCUGGCAGAGCCCUUCAUGCUCAACCACCUUAAAAGUUUAAGAAAGGGAUCUUUUCACAAGAUGGGAAACAGUCCAAAUCCAGUCCUAACUCAGUCCUUUAUGUCACACAGAACUUGGCAGAGCUUGGUAGAAGGGAAUAAAGGAGAACCACAUAAGAACCUCAGGAAAAAAAAAUAAUAAUUGUUCUGCUUUCCCUUUACAUCUGUUCCCUAGCCUUUAAUCAUUCAUUAUCAGCUGUAGUUCUGGUAUGAUUAUUAUCAGGUAUCCAUUCUAGAAAGUAAAGCAUAAUGGUAAUGAAUAACAUGGAUCUAUUGUUUAAGCAAAUGUUCAUGAUUCUCUACUCAGUGACUUAAAGAAUACAAAACUUUUUCCAUUCCUUCAAGCAGGGUUAUUUAUUUUAUAUGCUAUAGAGAAAUGUUUACAAAUUAAUCCUUUUUUACAAGUGGAAAAAUUUUGCAUGUUUGUGUCUCUCUUCCAUAUGAUAAUGAAAAUAAACCUUUUGUUAUUUUGUAGUUGUUCUUAUUUCAUGAUAACACAGAAAGAAACCUGGCAUGUUGACUACGGUUCAUUAGGGA